AAUAAAAAGGAAAAAAAAA
rnacentral:sRNA from 1 species